AGGAGCCGAAUGAAACAAAAGUUUCACGUUCGGUUUUGAAUUAGAGGCGUUAAAUUUUUUAUAUUAUAGAAUAUAUAUGUAUUUUUUCGUCAAUUGGUUAAUUCUUUUUUUGAAUUUAUUAAGUUAUUUUUAGUUAUUAAUAUUCAAUUCAAUUUGAAUUCGAUUAUUUAUUCUAUUUUGAAUUUUGAAUAAAUAUUAUUUAAUAUUUAGAAUAUAUAAUAUAAUAUGGAUUAGUAUUAUUCUAUAUC